rnacentral:rRNA from 1 species
UACGUAGAAGACUAGUGUUAUUCAUCUUUAAUAGGUUUAAAGGGUCCUAGACGGUAUAAUUAGUCUUUAACAGGAAACGGUUAUACUAGAGUUAUAUAUGAGGAGGUGAGUAUUUGUGGAGUAGAGUUGAAAUUCUUUGAUACCAUGAAGACUGGUAAAGGCGAAAGCAAUCUUCUAUGUAAAACUGACGUUGAGGGACGAAGGCCCGGGUAACAAGCAGG